rnacentral:snoRNA from 1 species
CUAGAAAUUUCACAGGUCCUACCCAGCAGGCAGUGGGGCCAGGAUUUGGCAGCCGUAACUGAGAGAAAAACCCUUGAUUGUAUUCUUGCCCUGGGGCAGUGUCAGUGGCCAUGGUCACUCAGUGGAAUAGAC